rnacentral:lncRNA from 1 species
UGUUUAAUUUUAGAUAAUUAAAUAGGUUUUUAACUAGUUUUUUCAUGAAAUUAUUUUGAAAAUAGCUUGCAGCUGUACGAAGAAAUUUAAAAAAUAAAAUACAAGAUCUCUGAAUGUGAAUAAUAUCUACUUUCAGCUAAAGCAACUUUAGUUUUUUUGUUUACAAUUUUGAAACCUUUUUAAAAAUAUUUUUGAGCGUAGAAAUUCUUUAAUUUAAAUUUAUUCAGCAAGAUAAACCUUUUAUCUAUUUUGUAUUUUUUGCUUAUAUGAGGAUUCAAUUUUUUUUGCAGGGUUAAAAGAAAAUCUUAAUCAUUAAACUUGUGUAACCUGUUGCUAUGGUGCUCUUUUCCGAUUAUUCCAACCAUAUUCGCGUUUCAACAAAGAAACUUACCUGUUGUAAAGAAGGGAAAAGUAAACUAAAGCAGAAAGACUUUUUCUUGGAACUCGAUAUAAAUAUUUUUUGUGU